AAGAGCCCGGGUAGCGGUCCGCGCCGGGGCGGGCGCUCCCUCAGCACCGGAGUAUGCAAAGGAGCGUGUGCGGCCGGAGGGCUGGCGGUCUCAACAAUAAUGCGCCCGCGGGGCCGGCCACAAUACAAGCGCCUCAGAGCAAGUCCCCGAACCUGCCCUAGCCAAAAUGGCGGCCGAGAAAGAGCGGAAGUGACGCAAGGAACAGGCAAAAGGGAUUCACCACGCGUUUUUAAGUAGGGUGGCUGAUGGCUGAGACAAGGGAAAAGCGGCAGACUCAUCCCAUAAUGCUGAGCGGUCAGAAGAAAGGGAAAGGAGGAAGAAGAUACCGGUAACUUUUAUUUAUUUAACAGGGAGUGCUGCCUUCUGUUAUGCUUUGAAUCUUGGUAAGUCAAAUAUAUUAAUUUUAAAGAAAUGUGAAUUUUCACCCUUUUGCAUGGACACCUGGAAGCCUUCCAUAUUUAUUUAGUAGUUUAUGAAAAUUAACCUUUUUAUGAUAAAAAGUAACCCUAUUGUUUCUUUAGGAGGAGUAUAACACGCUAUUUACCAUACCUCGCCAACAGUAUAAUUCAGCUGUCUUGCCCGAACAAUCAUCUCCAUCUGGAAGACGUAGCCUUUAGAAACACAUUUUUCUAUUAAUUUCUGUAAAACUUCUUUUUGGUAUAACCUGUAAGAAAUUAAAAUGUAUAUGUACACCUGGAUACAUGCCUACAUGUAUCCUGACCUUUCAAAAAGUUCACUGGUAUUUAUAAAACCUUAAACUUUCACCAGCCAUUUGUAUAUAGAAAAGCUCUCACAGUUGAUGAUUAUGAUACAUUUGUCCUGAACUGGAAAGGCCAUAAAAAUAUUUGGUAAAUAAUUUGGGACGAUUUUGAAAAUGAAUUCUUAGUAUCUCUUAGAGAAUUAUCUUCCUAUCACACUACCAGAAAUUAUAAAAAUAUGGUAAUAAAGU